rnacentral:rRNA from 1 species
AACGUAGGUGGCGAGCGUUGUCCGGAAUUACUGGGCGUAAAGGGCGUGUAGGCGGUCUUCUAAGUCAGGCGUGAAAGACCAGGGCUUAACCGUGGGAUUGCGUUUGAGACUGGAAGGCUUGAGGAUCGGAGAGGGCAGUGGAAUUUCCAGUGUAGCGGUGAAAUGCGUAGAUAUUGGGAAGAACACCAGUGGCGAAGGCGGUCUCCUGGGGCAUUCUUGACGCUGAGGCGCGAAAGCUGGGGGAGCAAACGGG